GAUGAACGCUGGCGGCGUGCCUAAUACAUGCCAGUAGAACGCUGAAGGCGGAGCUUGCUCUUCUGGAUGAGUUGCGAACGGGUGAGUAACGCGUAGGUAACCUGCCUGGUAGCGGGGGAUAACUAUUGGAAACGAUAGCUAAUACCGCAUGACAACAGUUAUUGCAUGAUAACUGUUUAAAAGGGGCAACUGCUCCACUACCAGAUGGACCUGCGUUGUAUUAGCUAGUUGGUGAGGUAACGGCUCACCAAGGCGACGAUACAUAGCCGACCUGAGAGGGUGAUCGGCCACACUGGGACUGAGACACGGCCCAGACUCCUACGAGAGGCAGCAGUAGGGAAUCUUCGGCAAUGGACGGAAGUCUGACCGAGCAACGCCGCGUGAGUGAAGAAGGUUUUCGGAUCGUAAAGCUCUGUUGUAAGAGAAGAACGAGUGUGAGAGUGGAAAGUUCACACUGUGACGGUAUCUUACCAGAAAGGGACGGCUAACUACGUG
rnacentral:rRNA from 1 species